CGCUCCAGCCGCAGCCCCAGAGAAUGAAUGAAAUUGAAAUAGCUGCUACAUUACAUGUACAAUACCGGGCUCUGCAGUGUUGCAUUCUAUCAUACUAUAUCAAAAUGGCCACAGCGGUACAGAACCCCCUCAAAUCGCAAUCUGGAGGUGCAGUCAUCAAGAACAGUCUUGGUGAGGAGUUUUAUAAGGAGGCCAUUGAACACUGUCGCAGCUACAAUGCCCGUCUAUGUGCAGAGCGCUCCAUGCGUCUCCCCUUCCUCGACUCCCAGACUGGCGUGGCCCAGAGCAACUGCUACAUCUGGAUGGAGAAGAACCACCGUGGACCAGGUCAUGCUCCAGGUCAGUUGUACACAUAUCCCGCUCGCUGCUGGCGCAAGAAGAGACGGCUAAACAUCCUGGAGGACCCGCGGCUUGUACCAAUCGAGUUCAAGAUUGACUACGAGGCCUCUCUAAAGAAGGAGGGGGGCAUCCCAGACGGUCCUGUGCUAGAGUCGCUGCUCGCUGGGGAAACCCUGGACAAGAAGGUAGAAACCAAGGAAGAAGAGCCAAUGAGCGAAUGUCAGAAGUUGCUUGUCGGGGAUUUCCCUCAUGAGCUGGAGGUGGACGAGAUGGAGGAAGACGUCCCGAAGCGCAAGAACCGUACCAAAGCACGGGCCUAUGGUGUCGGGGGCAUGAGAAAGAGACAAGAGCUGCCUGCCAUUGAAGACAGAGACAAGCCUUACGUCUGUGACAUCUGUGGAAAGCGCUAUAAGAACCGUCCAGGGCUGAGCUACCAUUACACUCACACACACCUGGCAGAUGAGGAGGGUGAAGAAGACUCAGAGCGACACACGCUACCCUUCCAGCGCAAGAACAACCACAAGCCCAAGAAAGCACCGGACGGCUCAGUCAUCGCCAACGGCUACUGCGACUUCUGCCUCGGAGGCUCAAAGAAGACCGGCUGUCCUGAAGACCUAAUCUCCUGUGCGGACUGUGGACGCUCAGGACCAGCUGCUGUUCUGUGAUGAUUGUGACAGAGGCUACCACAUGUACUGUCUGAGCCCUCCCAUGUCUGAACCACCAGAGGGGAGCUGGAGCUGUCAUCUGUGUCUGAGACAACUGAAGGAGAAGGCCUCAGCCUACAUCACCCUCACUUAAUCUGCAGAGCUGCUCCUCAUCCUCUCGGCCUGUCGUCCUCUCCCACACCACCUCUCCGUCGACCCUCCUCUUGUGAUCCGCUCGCCUCCACUUUCUCUACAAUCUGUCCUCGUGACCUCUGACACGACUGAGCACACAGCACCGCAGCGCUGCACCCAUUCUUGAACGUCUCUCAGCGGCGAGCCAACCUCUGUCCUUUUGUCACUCAAAUUCACUGUUGUGCUUGACCCGAACCCCCCUUCCCCUCCAUUCCUGCUCUGUCUCAACAGAGGAAUUCAUCAGCUGGCAAUAAGUUUGCUAGCAAGACACACACUCCAGCCUGCCAAGGGCACUUCUGAGGCAUACUACUCCACAGGAACCCUCAUAAGGGCCCUCGGAUGAGCCCUAAUGAUCUUCAGCUGCAACUCAGUCAAGUAGUGAGUGAGAAUUAAUAAGAUGGAUAGGUGUUAGGCAGAGGACAGGGCUUUGAAGACCCUGAAUAACCAUGGAGCAGUAUGUUUCGGUGUUAGCCAACUGUGAAAUAUACACCCAACCAAAAUUUCAUUUUCUCCCUCUGUCCUUUACCACGUGUGGCAGGACUGAGGCGCUGAACUCUGCUCCGUUAUUUGUCUGCAGGGCUUCCUCGCCCUGAGCAGUUUCAAACGAGGAGUGAAUUGUACAAAAUUCUGACUGAUUCUCUAUCCACAUGCUCAUAAAAACUCCCCUCACUGGAAAAUGAGGAGCAUCUGGUCAGGAACUCAGACCAUCUUUGACCUCACCCAGUCCUCUCUCCUUGCAUGGGGUUUCCACAAAUUAAUGAUGCAUUUUGAGAUUGACACUGAAGGUUUCAGUGCACGGAUGUGAUCCUCUGAUGAAAGGAGAGAAGGAUUUUUCUCUAAUCAGCUAUCUCUGAUCGAACAGUGUAUUUAAAAAUGACAAUUUAGGAUUAGCAUCUCUCACAAAUCCUUUACCUGACCUGUACUCGCCCUUUCCUCCUAUGAAACAAUGACUGUGAAGCCAAUGCGAGACUGAAACGCUCCUGGUGCUUGGUAUGUAUUAUCUGUGUGUUAAGAAUGUAGGAUUGAUGUGUGGACAAUGCAGAUUCUCUGUCUGGCCCAUGCCGAGGCCUAAAAACCUAUUUUUUAUUAUUCCUUUUUCAUUUUUUUUCAUUUGCAUGUUGUUAUUUCAAUUGUUUUUAAAUACUUUUAAUUGAAAUUGAAAAGAAAGCACACUUAAUUCGCAAUAAUGUGUUUGUGAUAUGAACUCUUUUGGCCAAACUGGGUGUGUUUUAAACUCUGUGUGUGCCUGUGUGUCUGUUUGUGUGAGUUUAUUUGAGCACUACAGUAACUGUAGCUAGCUCCGUGCUCGAUGGGAUCUGUGAGAGGAAGCGAGUAACAGGGUGGUAAUGUGAAUGUAAGGAAAGUCAGCAUUUUCCUGUUCAGGCAUUCUGGCAGUGGUGGGAGAACUCUCAAGUCUUGGUGCUGAAGUCGAGACAAACAAGUGUUAAAGGAACAGAUGAGAAGUUAUAGUUUCACAGGUUAUGUGCCAGACGAUUUCUUGGCAGUGACUCCAGGAAGUUGCUCUGUCCAGCAAAGAAAGAGUUCGGGACAUAACCCAGUUUUAAAAAUAAGAAACACAACUUGCUGGUUACACCCUUUGUUUUAUAUAACAUAGUCCUGGAGCUUUAGAGGUGCUAGUAGGCAGAUUGUGUUUACUCAAGACACUGCCAGGCUAGCUGUCUCCCCAGCUUGUAGUCUUAAGGCUACGCUAAGCUAACUUUCUCCUGUCUGACGCUUCAUAAUUAUCACACAGUAAGAGUAAUAUCAAUUUCCUCAUCUAACGCUCACAAUCCUGAAAGCUCAAAGAGUUUUGUCCUGUAAGUAUAAACUCAUCACCAAAAUUUAUGACAUCUAAUAUGAUUCAUGUGCAAGGACUUUCCUCUCCCACAUGCUCUAAUUUAGUAGGAAACCAAAUCCUGGAUAAGCAUCACCACAGCACAAUACACCUUAAAAGAUCUUAAAAGAUGUGUUUUAACAGUCACUAAACCACCCCUGUUUCUUCUUCCAUUUUUAUUUAUACAAGAAAAACAAUCAUAGUAUCAUCAAAAUACAACAAAAAUCAAGUCCACUGCUUCUGCUUGACAUUCUCCAUCAUGUUCACAUUUAAGUGACACAGAAGCUUUAAUAACUUGAUGAGGGCCCCAAAGACAGUUCAAAGUCACGCGGUGGCUUAAAUUAGUUGCUUUUCUAUCUCAUCUUUGUGUCCUGCAGAACAUGAGGCCACCUGUCUCCUUAAAGACAUUGACAAGAGAUGAUGUUGUUACCUGCCAGUGUGCUCUGCACAUUAGAGGCCAGUCCAAAUGUUAAGGCUGAGGUUGUCAUGAUGGGGUUAAUAUGCCAGCCGGCAUGGAUUUUUGUGAGCUUGCACUGAAACUCCCCCUUUUUCCUUUAAACCCAAAGUUCCAUGAUUUUAUCCUCAACCAGUUUAACUGGACUUCUCAAGGCAACUUACAUAGGCAUGUUGAAGGACAGGUGAAGUGUGUCACCACCCGCUGUGAGUUGAUACUCGAUGUGAGUAGCACUUGCCUGAGUGUAAAUGGCUUAUAGCAUAUGAGGUUUGCCAUCUAUUGGAUAAUAUAAAGGCACUGACCACUCUGGGAACAUAUACUGUAAUGACCGUGGUGUCAACAGUUUGUGUGGACUACUGUUUUGGAUCCAACUAAGAACUUGAGGACACCACACACGGCAAAAAUGUAGUGAACUAUUAACCAGAAGAUAGCCCUGCCCUGAAGCACAGCCUGCUUUAUCAUCUAUUUUACUGUAAAUGAGACCAUAAAUUCCAACAUGAACAUUAUUUUGUUUUUAAAAAGUGCUGAAAUUGGCAAUUGAGACAAUAAACUCAUUAGGAAAGGUUUACUGAGGUAAAAAAAUCUAAUUAAAAGUAGGGUCAUUUUCUCUUAAACUUCAAUACAUUCAGAUUAGUGGUGUCGCUCCCUAGUGGUCAUUAGAAAGAAUGCAGGUUUAAGGCAUUUUGAAGUUGGUUAUAUUUUUAAGACCUGAAGGUUCCAUCUUUUAUGUACAGUCUAUGGAGUAAAACAAGUUCAGUGCUGAUCUGCAGCAGGCAAGAACUGGAGGAACACUGGACCAAUCCAAAAUAAUAACCACUGCCUAUUCAUAAUAUGAGAACACUGGGUUUCGGAAAUUGCAGUGUUGUAUCAGCAAUUCACAAAAAACACAAAAACGCACACAUAUUACAAGAAUACAUUAUGAAAUAGGUGUAUAUAUUUAAAAUUAAUAUAUCUUAAAAGAUUUCUGCUCUGUUCACAUCUCCACUUCAGUCUGUUAUUGAGCUCAGAAUCACUGAGUAGUGGUAGGAGUAGACUCUAUUCAAUGGCUUUGGUUAAGCUGCACGCUGAAGAAUUCUACGUAAUGUGAGUCGCACAGGAACCGUUUCACUGGAUUUUGCCCAAAACCAUUUGUGCUGGCACAUCUCACAUCAGACAGCGAUUCAUUUCAGGUCACGACUCACAUCAAGUGGUGACAAAGUGCCGAUUUAGGAGGCGUUCAACAUGCCUAAGUUGUACGCAAAGAGAAGGCAUUCAUUCAUUGAUCUGUGAGCUUUAAGCUUGGAGACAAUAGCUGUAAAUUAGGGAAUCGAUCAAGGGCAACAAAUUGCCAUUAUAUACAGUACUUUACGUUCUUGUGUACGCAACAAAGUAUGAAGCAGCUCAGAAUCAGUUGGCUUUGGUUUGAAUGAACAUCUUAUUUUAAUGCUGCAUCACAUCUCUAAAAGGAAACUUGCAAGAUCAGAUGGCUCGUGAGAAUGUAUCUGAACUGUAGUUAUGUUCGCCAUCUGAUACAGAGGGACAGUAGGUGCAAAUACUGUGCUACCCCUCAGUCUAAUGUAACGCCACCGUUGCAUGAAUGACACCUCCAGUGUGUCUGAUUUCAUAUUUUGAUAUUGCCAGUGAUGCUUUUUUAAAUAAUGAUGAGAGAAAACCUUCAACUUAUGUUCAAAUUCCUGUUUAGUUUUGUAAUUUGCGUGUUUUCUUUCCCCACGUUUUGCACAGUGUGGCUGCAUUUGGUCUUCAAGGGUGUUUAUGCCUCUGUUUGUAUGUGUGUGUGUGUGUGUGUGUGUGUGUGUGUGUGUGUGUGUGUGUGUGUGUGUGUGUGUGUGUGUGUGUGUGUGUGUGUGUAAUCAUUUAUGACUACUGGAAGGUCAGCGAAAAAGCAAACUGAACCAAAAUAAUGAAUUAUUAUUAUUCUGCAGACAUUUUCUUCUCAGUGGAACCAGAUGCAUGGCACAGCACUGCUACAGGAUUGUAAUAUUGGGUACAGACUGCAACAAGAAGUGUACUUAAGUGCACACUUUUCACAUAAGGCACUUGGAUUAUGCUGUUUCAUUUCAUGAUGUGUUAAAUUAGUAGUAUAGUUGCCAACAAAACCAGUAGUAUCCAAUCAAAAGUUGUUUAUUUCCAUUAACCAAUCAGAGCUAACACCUAGACUUGAAGUGUGUUUGAGUGGAAAUAGUUUGAUGUGGAAGUUUAAUGAUGAUUGUCAGAUUGAAUCAAAUGGAAAUGUCUGUGACUUGGAUGAUGAUGAUGAUGAUGUCAAUGGUGACUGAAAAGCCUUUAUAUUGGGAGCUUUCCUGGCACUUAGUAGGAGAAGCAUGGUGGAGUCAAACUAACUUUGAUUGUACUAUCUGGGGCGGGUGGGGAAGCCAUGUUGGGGUGUUGGAUGGGUGGGUAUCCAUGUGAUUAUUUAUUGAAACUUGAGCUUUCCCUUUGUACAAAUGGACAAACCAAGGUGAAGCUGAUGAUGAGGGGUGUUGGUGUGGGGUCACACAAAGUCCCACCAGGAAUCUCCAGGCCUCAAUUUGACGCCGUCGCCCCCAUCUCGUCGUGUUUCAGGCUGUCGGGGUGUCCCAGUUAGAGGGUUGAGACUUUGGGCCACUCCUGGCCUCUCUUGUAAAUUGUCGUUCUGUGAUCUUGCUUGCACUUUUUUUUUCCUUUCCCAAAAAUAAGAAACUAAUUGUAAGUAUGUAUGUGUGUGAGUGCGGGUGCACUUUUUAUUUUUAAUCUCUGCAUUUUUUUCAACGUGAUUGUCUGUUGUAAACAACACUGGAUAAAGAUGAGUUUUUAAUUUGUAUUUUUUACCUUGAGAGGAAGAUGAAAUCUUCUUGGACAUUUUUUAACCCCCGGCUCCUUCUCCCUUUCCUCCCCCCUUUCUCUCUCUUUCUCUUUCUCUGUCUGGUACCUGGGAAUGCUUUGAAAUGUGGACUGUGACCGCAUUGCUGUCAUCACUGCUGUCAGUCAUUCUCUGUGAAUUCAUUCGGCUUUCUCAAUUUACCCAGUUUUUUCUCUCUUCCCUUGACUCAUUUUUUUUCCAUUAAAAGAUGAGAUUGAAAAAUGAA